UUCAACGUUAGUCGGAAUUAUUUCGGAACCGGCCUGAAACACUUUGACUAGAGUCCGCAGGAAGAUACGGGGAAGAUAAAAAGAGCAGCCUUCUUCGCCGAAGUUUACUCCAUUAUAUCCGGAGCUCCAAGAGAUCAACGAGAUCCCUACCGAUUCUAAUAAAUGGCAACUAGCAACUCAACGGUGCCAACAUCUAGAAGGGAGAAACCUAAAGGUCGUCAUCAUGGAGUAACUGCACAAAAGAAGCAAGAGAUCAAGGAAGCCUUUGAUCUGUUUGAUACUGAUGGUUCUGGCACUAUUGAUGCCAAAGAGCUGAAUGUUGCCAUGAGGGCAUUGGGAUUUGAAAUGACGGAGGAGCAAAUCAAUAAUAUGAUUGCUGAUGUUGACAAAGAUGGUAGUGGUGCCAUUGAUUUUGAUGAAUUUAUGCACAUGAUGACAACAAAAAUAGGAGAAAGGGACGCUAAAGAGGAGCUUAUGAAAGCAUUCCGCAUUAUUGACCAGGACAAUAAUGGGAAAAUUUCUGAUGUAGACAUCUCAAAAAUUUCUAAAGAGUUGGGCGAAAGCUUCACUCUUACUGAGAUAAGGGAAAUGAUAGAUGAAGCCGAUCGUAAUGGUGGUGACAGCAUAAACCAUCAGUGUUGGUCGUAGCAACUGACAACUGGCCAUGGCAAUGGCGACUGCUAGUGGCAGUGAACUGCUGUGGUAGCAACAACUAGUGGUGACAACAAUAAAAGAUGACUAGUUGAGGUGAUGGUGAGGUUGAUGCAGAUGAAUUUAUUUGGAUGAUGAAAAGAACAAAUUAUGGGCAUUAACUUAUGUAAUUAUUGAAAUUAUAUACCUUGUAAUAAUGCUAUGAUAUCAUUAUCGCCUCUCUGAAUAUUAUAAAUUAGGCAUUUCCCCUAUUGUAUGUAUAAUUAACUAACUGGUUCUUUAUUGAUAGCUUGAGUUGCUUCAGAUAA